CAGAGAUAUUUCAUCUCUUUCUGUUCUUCAUGAUACUGAUUUGCCUACUGGAAUAACUUGGACAUACCCUGCUAACCACAUUCCCAUGGCACAGGCACCCCCUGGCUGAUUUUGUUCUCUGUCUGCUGUAAUCUCUCAAAGCCUGAAGUGUGUCAGUCUUUGAGCAAAACAAAUGCAGUUAUCUGAAUGGUGGCACAGCCUUGAUAACAGAGUCAUUCAGUGGUUUCUUCUGUCUUGUGUUUCAUAGAAACAAGGAAGUUACGGUUAAAGCAUGGUUAAGAAUCAAAGGAUACAUUUUUUAAACAAAGGCUGAGGCUACCAUAUGUACAGUGAUUGGGAUGUGUUGUUUUUUGUCUUUUUUAUCUUUUUUUUUUUUUUUUUGACAUGUCCUCUUAACCUGUUCUUUGAAUUCAGGAGAAUAUUUAGUGAAAGAUCAAUAUUUUGGAUUUAAGGCGUUAUCUGUAAGGAGAGGCAGACAGAGACUGCCUGUGCUGACAACAGGAUGUCAGCUGUAGGUGUUGGUGAUCUGUGGAAGUGAUGGGGAGGUGAAGUCAUGGGCCCGAGACGCUCUGAGUUCUGGAGGAGCUGGGGAAACAGGCAGGCACAACAGCUACAUGUGAUGUGAAGAACUAUGAGGCCAUCUGAUAGGGAUCAGAGGAAGGGAAAUGACUGGAGGACGUGGCAGGAUGCAGAGGUCUGAAAGGAGAUGGGAGAGCCCUGUCAGCAGAGGGUAUUCAAAGUGUCCUGAGCAAGAUGGGGCUUAGAUAUAGUAGGUCUGAGGAGGCUUUGAGAUUCAAGGUUUCAGGGUCCUGAAAUCCCUCAGGCUUUUGUGAGUGGAGUGAUAGUAAGUUACUUGGAUUUUAUUCUGCACUCUGUGGACUGCCAUGGAGCAUUUGUCACUCUUAAAAGUACUAGAGCAGAUCUCAUUUAGGGGGUAGAGACACAUGGAAAAAAACUUGCUUCCUCCUCCUGGCAGCAAUGAUAUGUGUUCUGCACAUGAAGGCUGAUCUAGCUGACUAUUUUCAGAAAUGCCAUAAGCUUAUCCAGGUGUGACAAGCUUCCAAACCUUCUAGAAAAAAACUGAAUGGAUGGAGAUUCUGUUAAUCUUCAGGAAAGACUGGAAAUUAAAAUGACAAUUUAGAUUUUUUUUCUUUCGUCAAACUCAAACUUUAAUGGAGAAAUCACUAUCAUACAGAUACAGCGACUCCUGUGGAUUCAUCUGGAUGAGAUUUCCAAUGUUGGAAAACAGAAAGCCUUGAAAGCCUUUCCCUACAAACAGCUGUCCUGGCAGAGCCACUGGAGCAUUGUACUGCAGUUCAGAGACUGGGAGAAGAUCAGGAGAUGGAGUGAGAGGCAAAAAUACCUCCGGCCAUUACUGCCACCAGGGACAGGACAUUGCAGAGCUGCAACCUUACGUUCUGCUUGCAGCUUGGCUCAGACUCAGGGCAGGACUCUGGAAAAGUUACUUGGCAUCACUGUACCUCAGUGCCUCAAUUUUUGGCCUUGCAAAAUGGAGUCAAUGAGUGUUACUCAGGCUGGAGAAGAUCAGAGCUGCAUAUGAAGGGCUCUCUGUGCAUGGCUAUUGUACACGCUAUAUUGUACUCAUGCUUUUAUAAACAUACAUGCAUAUGCAGUUUCUUUCCUAUGGCCAUUUUUGUGUCAGAAACAGACUUAUGGCCAAAACCAAACAGGACUACUUCUCUGGGAAUAUUGUGCAGUUGCUAAUUUCACUACCGGAACUGUGUUGCUGCACAAUCUGGCCUCCUUCCAUCACUGCCUCUCUUGAAAAUAAAGGGGACUGAUGAGCCUAUGGAUAAUGGUAAACAUAUGGAGCUUAGGCAGUGCUAUACAUUAAAAGCCAGAACACAUUAAAAGGUAUUUUAGUUGUUGGUAGCAUAAGAUCAGUGUAGGAAACAUCAUCUAACAGAGAAAUCUCAUACCAAUAAGUUUCAUACUCUGACAGCGCUUGGCAUUUUCCUUUCAUUUCACAAAAAAAUAAAAUAAAAAAUGACUAAUUCAAAACAAGGGCCAAACCGUUAAGUUUCAAAUUAGUUUGUCAUAACUGCAAAAAUACUGGAUCUUUGGUUUUGUUUAUGUUGGAAGCCUCUUUCAUUUCAGACUAGGUCACUUGGUUUUCUUUUGAGUGUACACGAGACCUUUGACUCCUUGGAGGACACAGGAGGCAAAUUGAGUAAUGUGAUGUCAUUGCCUUGUGGAGUUCUCAUAACACUAACUAUAUUAGUCACUUGCCUUGCCAGUACCAAGAGGGUGAAAAAGAAAUCCAGCAAGAUGUUGGUAUUACGUGGAUGGAAAACAAUUAUUGUUCCCUGUGAUGUAUUCUCCUUUCUCUCCAUUAUUUCCAUUGUUUGGUGAAGCUUGAGAAGACUGUGCUUCAGCUAAGUGAUACUUCUCACCUGAUCAUUUGUCUUCUCCUUGAUGUUUACAUUUACUGCACAAAAGUAGUGAAAUUUUGUACUCAGAGUGGCAAUUUAUAUUCGUUAAGUUAAAUAGAUUAAAAGUUUGACUUAUGUUUCUUGGGGGAAUGGUGAUUAUUCAGUCACAGACAGAUACGAGAAGCCAUAUAUUUGGGGAAAGCAUUUUUGUUGCUUCUGGAUUUUUCCUUUGGUCACAGGAAGGCGUAUGAAUAAAAACAUGGUUAUACUUACAAAUAUCUGUUUGCUUUUCUCUUUGUAAAGCAAAAGUGUCAGAUCCUUGCUCCAGUGAAACACAAUGUUGGAUUCCAUACAAGCUCCAUGUUGUUCACACCAAAUACUUACCUGUUGUGUAAUGACAACAUAUUCUCACAUGGGAUGGCAAUAAAUAUAAAGAUGCCUAAUUUUUUUCUAAGUUUUCAUAUCUUGCAUUCAGAAAAAAAAGUAAUUUUCCUUACUGACCUUGGGAUUACUUCAAGCAGGUUUUGUGAGUGACUUUUGCUCCUGCUUUUAGUACCACUGACCUUUUAGUGCAAGAGUAAUUUUCUAUGUAAUCCAAAAUCAGUAAUGAAGAUUAUGUAACGUGUCCUAGGAUUCUUCUGGUAGUGUAUUAAAAUAAAUAAAUAAACAAACAAAAAUAAAAUGAUUUAUCACAGCGUAUAAUAUAUAAUUAGUCAUUUGAUAAUUCUAAAAUCAACCCAAUAUGUCAGGAUUUUUUUAGGGAUGCUUGAGGAAUAGAUACCAUGCAUAUAAACUGUUGCCCAGUGAAUAAAUGAUUGCUAUAAGAUCUCAGUUUCUGACUUACUUAGAAGUUAAAUAAAACAUUGGUCAGUCCUUUUUGAGAUCUCUUGCAUAUAAAUCAGCCUGAAGAACUACUUGGGUUUUACUUAGUGACUAGUGGAAAAAUACUUUCCAGAAAUCCUACAUUUGAAAGCCUCAUACUCAUCCCAUUCUUUCAGGACUUAAGUGCCUCUGCUUAAGUGAGAAGUGACAUAGUUUAGCCCAACAGUGAUUGCAUUCAGAGGUAUGCUUUAUUCUGAACAACCAAUUCUUGGAGACUUAAGCCAAUGAGGGAUUAACUCCUUCAGCUGGAGUUAGUGGCCUCCUCCACCCAAAACUAGAAAGCAAAACAAGCCUCUCCACCCUUAUGAACCUCCUAUCCAAAGCUGAAGUCAUGCAG
rnacentral:lncRNA from 1 species